GCUCUUUUUAUGUCACUAGCUUGACCCAGUAGAGUUCAAACACCCAUCAAUAGGUGUUGAUACUCCCCUUGCUUGAUAUUCUUUUUCUUUUUCUUCUUCCUGCUGAAUUUCUUCAUAAAGUUGAGAACACCAAGCACAUGUUUCCAUGUUUCAAUCAUAGGAACUUUAAUCUCCAAUUUCUUGAUGAUCUCCAUAAGGCUCUUGACUUUCUUUUCCCUCCUAUGAUAUUUUUUUAAAUGAGGAAGGGGUUUUUCAUAUGAUCUUUUCUUCUUUCCUUUCUUUCUUCCUUUUUUUCUUACUUUUCUCCUCCCUCACCUUUCUCUUUUUCGUUUUUCUUUUUUUCUUUAUUUUCACAAUUUUUGCACUUUUUUUCUUUUUUUUUCUUUUCUCUUAACCACUUCUUUUUCUUUCUCCUAAUCUUUCUCUCCCUCACUCAACCUUUCUGUUUCUUUCUCCUCAAUCUUUUCCUCCUCUAUCUUUUCCUUAUUUCUCUCCAUUUUUUUCUCCUCUAUCUUCUCCUCAUUUAUCUCUAUCCUUUCUUCCUUUAUCUUCUCCUCCUUUCUCUCAAUUUUUUUCUCCUCUAUCUUCUUUUCAUAUAUCUCUAUCUUUUCCUCCUCUACCAUCUCCUCAUCAACAACCUUAUCACUUUCAGAGAUAGUGGCUUCACAUUCCUCCCUAGGGUUAACUUCAGUACUAACCCUAGAAUUAUUCAGAGAUGCAAUCACGCAAUCUAAUUCUAUCUCCUUCCUUUUGCAUCUUGCGUCAUCACAUUCUAAAAAGUAAAUAAUAUUCCUUUUGCAUCUUGCAUCUUACGUCUCUUCACGGCUUUCUCAUGGAGAUAAUUGUUGCCAAUGUUGUUUAGUUUCCUCCAGCCGACGUUGUUCAGCUUCCCCCAACGUUUCUCUUGGCAUAGAGGAUUGUUUCUGCCAAAGAUAUUGUUCAACUUCCUUCUAUCUUUCUUCAAGUGUAGGAGAAUAUUGUUGCCUUUGAUGCUUUUCUUCUUUAAGUGAAGGACAAUAUUGUUGUCUUUG
rnacentral:lncRNA from 1 species